rnacentral:rRNA from 1 species
AGGUAGUGGCUUACCAUGGUUGCAACGCGUGACGGAAAAUUAGGGUUCGAUCCCGGAGAGGGAGCCUGAGAAACGGCUACCACAUCCAAGGAAGGCAGCAGGCGCGCAAAUUACCCAAUCCUGACUCAGGGAGGUAGUGACAAGAAAUAACAAUACAGGGCUUUUCCAAGUCUUGUAAUGGGAAUGAGUACAACUUAAAUCCUUUAACGAGGAUCCAUGGGAGGGCAAGUCUGGUGCCAGCAGCCGCGGUAAUUCCAGCUCCAAUAGCGUAUAUUAAAGUGGUUGCCGUUAAAAAGCUCGUAUUUGGAUUUCGGGAUGGCUCGGCCGGUCUGCCGCAAGGUUCCGCAAGGUAUGUUACUGGCCGCCCUGUUUUUCCUCGCAAAGACUGUGUGUGCUUUUAACUGAGUGUGCAUAGGAUUUUCGACGUUUACUUUGGAAAAAUUAGAGUGUUCAAAGCAAGCCAGCGCUUGGAAACAUAAGCAUGGAAUAAUGGGAUAGGACAUUGGGUCUAAUUUGUUGGUUUCUGGAACUGAAGUAAUGAUUAAGAGAGACAGUUGGGGGCAUUCGUAUUUCGUUGUCAGAGGUGAAAUUUUUGGAUUUACGAAAGACGAAAUACUGCGAAAGCAUUUGCCAAAGAUGUUUUCAUUAAUCAAGAACGAAAGUUAGAGGAUCGGAGACGAUCAGA